AUUGAACGCUGGCGGCAGGCCUAACACAUGCAAGUCGAACGAGUGGCGGACGGGUGCGUAAUGUCUGUGAAACUGCCUGAUGGAGGGGGUUAACUACUGGACACGGUAGCUAAUACCGCAUGCCAUCAGAUGUGCCCAGAUGGGAUUAGCUUGUUGGUGGGGUAACGGCUCACCAAGGCGACGAUCCUUAGCUGGUCUGAGAGGAUGACCAGCCACACGGGAACUGAGAAACGGGCCAGACUCCUACGGGAGGCAGAAGUGGGGAAUAUUGCACAAUGGGCGAAAGCCUGACGCAGCCAGGCGGCGUGGAUGAAGAAGGCCUUCGGGGUGUAAAGUACUUUCAGCGGGGAGGCGUUACCCGAAGAAGAAGCACCGGCUAACUCCGUGCCAGCAGCCGCGGUAAUUC
rnacentral:rRNA from 1 species